ensembl:piRNA 21ur-648 ncRNA
UAUUAGAUUGCCCGGUACAUG